rnacentral:lncRNA from 1 species
CAGCCGUCUCCAUGGUGCACACCAGACGCGGGAAGCCACCCGGCGGCGGUGGAGGGAGGCAGGGACCCGGCGCAUGAGGCAAGUUACAGUUCUCAGAAUCCAAGUGGAAUCUAACGCUAUGAAACAAUGCCAAGAGAAAAGCAAGGAAAACGAAAAACUAAAGGAGCACCCCAGUCCAUUGUUUCCAUUCUUCAAAAGUUCCUGAAAACAUACGAGAAGCGUUGUGUACAGACUCAGACGUCUGUGUGUCCAGCCAUCAAAAGGGACUUGAAAGCCAGCAUCAACCAUGAACGGAUUCUCAGGAAGUUUGUACUGGUGAGACCUGAUGACUCCCCGCCAGGCAUCCCACCAAUGUCCUUGGAAGCUUUGCUCAUGACUGUUCGGGAUGAGUGUUACAUGCUGGGGAGAGAGAUCUGCAUCUGGGGCUUUCAACUGAGCAACCCAGAGAUCGCCAGACUUGCUUUGCUUCUAGAAUCGAAGGGGCACACCUGCUGCCCAUUUACCACCCUGGAACUCAUUGACUGCAAGAUGGAUCCAUGGUCUCUGGGGAGGCUUGGGCAGGCUUUGCAUCUCAGCAGUCUGCAUGUUCUUGUCCUCGACUACUGCAGAUUUACACAUGAAGAAAUUGAGAGUAUUUUCUCAGGCCUGGAGAACAACCAAAGGCUUCAGAGCCUCAGUCUGCGCUACUGUGGUCUGGGGCCACAGAAUGGACCGAGGCUGGGCUCCAUCGUAUGCCACAGUGCCAUUCGUGAGCUGCACCUCGGUGGCAAUUACUUGCAAUGUUCUGGAGCUCUGGGUCUCCUCAGACCCCUGGCAGAGUAUGCAGAGAUGCAGGGGAAAGACCAACUGGCCAUUUCCCCACCAGACACCGGGAACCCCCCUCCGCUGCUCCAAGCCAGACAGAGAGGAAGUUCACCUCUGAACCAGAUUGCAGAGUCAUCCAGGGCUGUAACAGUGAAACAUACCUCAGGGAAGAAGAGAAAAAAAGGAAUCAAGAAAAAAAUUAAAGAUUUGAUUGAAACUGGUCCUUGGUUGGUGAAGUUGUAUUUAGCAGAUAAUGGUAUAGAUGGAAAGGGAAAAGAAGGAGAAAAUGACUUGUUGGAAUUAACUCAAAUAUUAACAUGCCUGAUCAAAUACUCUGUCCACUUAAAGGAGAUUGACCUUGGAAACAAUGUCCUGGGAGAAAAGGCUGCUGUUGACCUACUUGAAGCACUGAGAGCCAGAAAGACAGGUAGGUGUUUUCAGUUUGUGUUCCCCUUCACCUGUCCACAUCCACUCCUUCCCAAAUGC